rnacentral:rRNA from 1 species
AGAAUCAACGCUGGCGGCGUGCCUAACACAUGCAAGUCGAACGAGAAAGUGGAGCAAUCCAUGAGUAAAGUGGCGACCGGGUGAGUAACACGUGACUAACCUACCUUCGAGUGGGGGAUAACCUCGGGAAACCGAGGCUAAUACCGCAUAACAUCGCAAGAUCAAAGCAGCAAUGCGCUGGAAGAGGGGGUCGCGGCUGAUUAGCUAGUUGGCGGGGUAACGGCCCACCAAGGCGAAGAUCGGUAGCCGGCCUGAGAGGGCGCACGGCCACACUGGAACUGAAACACGGUCCAGACUCCUACGGGAGGCGGCAGUGGGGAAUUUGCGCAAUGGGGGAAACCCUGACGCAGCAACGCCGCGUGGAGGAUGAAGCCCCUUGGGGCGUAAACUCCUUUCGACCAAGACGAUAAUGACGGUACUGGUGGAAGAAGCACCGGCUAACUCUGCGCCAGCAGCCGC